rnacentral:lncRNA from 1 species
UGGGGACUGUUUCCAGGAUCCCCGCGGGCCGACCCCGGCAGCCCGGGAGCGGAGGUGCGGCGGAGAGCCCGUGGAUCAAAGGAAUCCGCAGAGAAAGGGGAAAGCGGGCAGACGGACGAGCCGGCCUUGCCCCCCGCGGGCCGCGCUGGCCCGGGGUGGGGGCCGCGGGCGGGGACUCCGGGAUUUCCCGCCCGCCGGGCACCAGACCUCUGCGGGCUCCCACUUCGGGCACUUGGCCUGGAGGAACUCCAGGUAAGCCCAGGCUCCGCGGGCCAGGCUGGGGGCGCAGAACGAGGCUCGCGAGCUUGCGCAGCCGGCCUGGGACCCUGACCAGCACAGGCUGGCGCCCUCGGAAGCUCGGCGCCGCAGCCACUCCACCGUGGCGCGCGGGCGGGCGGAGAGGCGCAAGGCAUAAAUCCCGUAGAGCGCCCGAGAUCCGAUUAGCGCGCGUCUAUUCAUUAGGCCGGGGGCGAUUGAAUUAGGUCCCCGGGCGCAGGUCUUGGCUGGGGGCGGCGGCGUCUGGCUCAGGCGCGGGUGGGAGAGCGCGGACCACCGCGCUCCUGGUGGCAUCGGGAGCACCAGACGGCCAGCAGCGGCACGGGAGUAUCCGGGGGAGACGCGGUCGAACAGGGUCCCGCCCGGAGGCCUCUGCGGAGGCUGCCCGCCUCCCACGCACACCGAGGAGAGGCGGCCCGGCUCCGGAGAAACUGUUCCCGGGGGGAGCGGUCGGAGACCCGCGUUUCCAGCCCUCGGGAGGGACGGGCGCGGGAUGGAAGCGCGCGGCGCCCAGAAUCCUGGGUCCUCUCAGGGUGCCCGUCUCAGACUGCGCCUUCCUGCGCUCCUUUGAAAGCCGAGCUUUUCACCAGUUUCUCCACGGAGCUGGUUUUCCAAUCCAGGAAUCUUUUCUUCUUAAAAAUUAAUUCGCAAAACCCUACUUUAAGAAAAAAAAAAACAUAUGUAGGAGAAAAAUAUUGAAUCCAACAGAGAGGACACCUUGGCGACCAGGGGUGUUGCUGAAAUUGCUCCGAGCACGCCGCCACGGCCCCGCAGGCUCUGAAAAGGGGCUUUGCCUCCAACCACCCUGUGAGGGAGGGGUGGACCCCCAGCUCUCUGAGGCCCUACUCCCCUCCAGAGUGCGUUGAGGAGCCAGCUGUAAAGGCCUCUGGGACCCCCAAACCGUACCCCCCACAGGCAGGAUAUGAUUUAGGGGUCCUGGAACCUGGCUGAUAGGCAGGCUCUGGGCCCCAGCCGCAGUAAAUACCUACUGCCCAGGAGGUGGAUGAGCGCAGGAGAGCAGGGAUGUGGGUCCUCUCUGCCCUAAGUUUUGGGUUUAGUUCCUUGUGCAUGGCAGCUUCCCCAUUCCUAAAUAGUGGGUGGGGGCUGGCUUCAGAAUCCCCCAGUGCUGUCUCUUGUCUCUCCUGUGUCUCCUCCCAGAAGGAGGUUGCCCACGUGGGGAGGUCCUGGAUGCCUUUCGGACCUUGCAGCCCCCUGGUAUUUCCCCCCACCUCUGCAGCCCUAUUCUGCAGCAUUCACUUAAAACAAAUUUAGUGGGCUUUUUUUUUCCCCUUCCUCUCUCAAUACUGUUUCAAAACAGUUGUUACAGCAAAUAGCUGCAGACGGGCCUCUGCUGGAUGUGGCCAGGGCUGGCAGCUGCCCAGCGCAGGCACCCAGCCCUGGGCAGCUCUGCAGGACAAAAUAAGCUCCCGUGUUCCCCUCCCAAGGCUUGGAGUCGGGCUGCCCAGGCAUGUUUGGCUGGGCUCGCUAUCUGCAUAGAGGAUGCCUCCUUGGUGGCCCUCUGACUCUCCUGCUGUCCAUAGCUAACAAAUGUUUUUAAUUUUAGAGGAACAUACUGGGAUCUGCAGAUCCGCCUUUUACAAGAAGAGGGCCAGGCAAAGAGAGAAGAUAUUAAGCCUGAAGUCAGUUGUUUUUUGUUGUUGUAGAUGGACACAAUAAUUUAUUAUUAUGUGAUGCUGAGGAUUGAACCUAAUGCCUCACACAUCCUAGGCAAGUGCUCUACCCCUGAACUACAACCCCAAUCCUGAUACCAGUCUUGAUGCUGGAGUGUCUAAACCUGUGAGUUCUUAGUGGACCUGGGCCCUAAGACACCCAGCCCCUGGCCCACCUGCUCAGCAGCCUGAAAUCCUAGAAGCAUCCUUAGCCCUCAGAUCCAUUCCUCCCAACAGAAGCCCCAGCCAUUUCUGAAAGCCUGGUGGACACCAUUCAGGGUUUUCUCUGGCCUGGGGAGAAGAUGAAUGGACGCCAUGCAUAGCCAGCUGUGCCCUGAUACCUGGGCAUGGCCACUCCCUGAAUGCUGUUCUCACGUGUGCACACACGAACAUUCAUGCAGUUUUGAGAGCAUGCUCCUUUUGUUUUUUGGUACCAGGGACUGAACUCGGGGGCACCACUGAGCCACAUCCCAGCCCUUUUUGUAUUUUAUUUAUAGAGACAGGUUCUCACUGAGUUGCUUAGGGCCUUGCUAAGUUUCUGAGGCUGGCCUUGAACUCACAAUCCUCCUGCCUCAGCUCCCAAGCCUCUGGGAUUACAGGUGUGCCCCAUCACACCUGGCGAGUGUGCUCCCUUGAUAUGCACACAUUCAUGAGUGCUCACACAUCACCCCAUUCCCGUGUGUACACAAACCCACUCUGGCACAUGUGAGUCUCACAUAGUGUGUGACACUCCCACAUGCACAUGGGUAUAAAACACAAAGGCAAGGCAGGCCUGGGAUGUAGCUCAGUGGUGGAGUGCUUGCCUAACACGCCUGAGGCCCUGGUUCCAUCCCCAGCGUCAGGAAACAAAACAAACGAGCAGGCAGAGACACUUCUACAUCACAUCCCAACACAGGGGCACACCGAACGAGCAGAAGCAGUCCUGAGCCCUGCUGUUACAGCCACAGCUUGCAGCCUGUCACCCCCAAGCCUGUCCUGGAGGCCCUGCAGCACUCCUGCCCCGACUCUCCCUGACACUAGCAGCAAAUCUAGAUUUCCCAGCUCCCAAAUGACCGAGGUCCCAACUGAUCUGAAAACAUCAAAUAAGUAAUCAUUUUUUUUUUAAUAAUUUUUUAAUAUUUAUUUUUUAGUUUUCGGUGGACACAACAUCUUUGUUUGUAUGUGGUGCUGAGGAUCGAACCCGGGCCGCACGCAUGCCAGGCGAUCGCGCUACCGCUUGAGCCACAUCCCCAGCCCCAAAGUAAUCAUUUUUUAAUAUAAGGGGCUGGGGAUGUCAGGCAAAAUAUAAAAUUAUGAAUUAACCACUGCUCCAAAUAAAUGCCUUACUGGGGCCAGAGAGCAGCAGGGCCGUGCUGCCGGGUAACUGUAUGUUGGGUGUCUCUCCAUUGUUCCCUGGGCCAUUAGUCAAAGGGCAUAUUAGAAACAAUAUCUUUCUUUCUUUCUUUCUUUCUUUUUGGGGGGGUGGUACUGGAGAUUGAAUUCAGGGCCACUUGACCACUAAGCCACAUCAGCCAUAUUUUUUGUAUUUUAUUUAGAGACAGGGUCUCCCUAAGUUGCUUAGCACCUCACUUUUGCUGAGGCUGGCUUUGAACUCAUGAAACUCCUGUCUCAGCCUCCAGAGCUACUGGGAUUACAGAUGUGUGCCACCACGCCCCAUAUAGAAACAAUUUCUUGAAGACAAAAAUUGACUCUUAGUUCUUCCCAGCAGAUGUGCGGGGGACUGGCCCAAAGACCAGACCUGAGACUGGGGCCAGGGUGCUGCAGGCUGGCACAUGGAGGGGCAGGUAGGGGCAGACUGGGGGCCCUGGGACCUAGGUCUGAACAUUUUCAGCCUGUGAACACCUGCAGGUUGGACCCAGGCUGGGGCAGGAAGGGUGGGCUAAGGCCUGGGUGGAAGCUGAGGUGGCCCACAGCACCCUGGACCCUCCCUCAUGGGAGGAAAGCUGUACCCCACCCUACUCAGAGUCAGUGUUCCAAGGACAGCUCAGGAUGAAGAAUUUGCUCCUUUCUCUUCAAAUAAGAGGGGUUUAAAAAAAAAAAAAAGUCAACUACAGUUGCCAGGAACUGCCCUGGCUAGAGGAGUAUGUCUUGGGCCCCUUCCUGUCUCCUGAAGGAGGAGGCCCUCCACCAUGGGGGAGGCCUCCUCAUCAGGACCUUUGGCUACACAGUGUGGGGAAAGCUCCCUCUCCUAUGCUGCAGACUCCCUGAAGCCCUCCCAGGUGGGAUCUUGGAGGUGCUGCUUGGAGGCUUGGGGGGUGGGGGUGGGGCAGCCUUCCCCUGCCAGGUCUGCUUUGGAACUUGAGUUGGUAGGCAGACUAAUUUGGGUGGGACAGGAGAGUGAGGGUGCCCUAGAUCCCCAAGAGCAGGAGGCUGCCUCCCAAAAGAACAAAGCUUUCAGUCCCAGCACCGCUAUUUAGCUGAGCCCAGAGGCAAGGUGUCAGGGGAAGGGGCUGUCGGCAGGAUGCUGAAUCAAGGCCACAAAGAGGGAAUUGUCCCAGGGCCAGGCCUGGCUGGGCAAGUCCUCUGUCACACAGCCCAUCUCUCCUGAGGAUCAGUCCCAGCUCCAGAUUAAGCAAGGGGCCUGGCCUCAGUCAGUGCCCAUUGAGACCCGGGGACCAUCAGGGAAGCACAGGUUGUACCUCUAAGACAGACCUCAGGACCCCGUUGUAAGUUUUAAACAGCAAGGAGAGCAGUGAGGUUGAGACCUGAAGUCAGAUGAACAGCUUCCCCAGCCAGGGCCACCUCUGCUGCCCACUGCCUCUGCCUCCUCCUCUGAGGGAGGCUUCACUUCUGUUGCUGAUUUUGACCAACCAGGUCAGCAGGCUGCCUAGCCCCCUCCCCUUGCAGGGAAGGUGCUUGUUAAACAGAGUUGUAAUUUGUGGCUAAAUAUAACCCAGUGUGUUCACACGGAAAGUAUAAUUCAGGGUGCUAGUCAUUCGAGGUUAUCAGUGAGGAGACCCAUCUGGGUUAAAUUAAAGUGAUUUUCAUAAAGGGCAGAAGCACCAUUGCCAGGCUUCUCUCUGCCUUUUUAUUAGCAGUAGUAUGGUUGUUAUUACUACUAGAUGGGAUCAAGGAAGAUGGGGAGAUGCCCCCGGACCCCAGGGCUGAAGAGCUAAGUGGCCCCUGCAUCCGAGCAAGGAGACUUGUGUGCCCACAGGUAGUUCGUUCUGUUGAAUCUGAAGGUGGCCUGGAGGGGAGAGGGCAGGUUCUCCGAAAAUGGGGGAAUGGCCUUGGGAGACUUCCUGAAUAAGGAAUGAUGGAUUCUCCUGGCAGGAGUCUGACCUAAACACCCUUCAAUCUUGGCGGUGAGGAAAGUCCCGUGAGGACAGGAGCCAGACCCAGGAGGGAAAGCCCCAUGACCCAAUAUACAGGAACAGAUGAGGACAGCUGAGUGGCUGCAGCGACCCUGCUGCGACAAGUGCCUGGGCAGGGCCUGAUACAGGUGGUCUGUGGUCUUUCCAGGCACGCCCCCAGGCAGAACUGGUCCUCAGGCCCUCCCUUCCAGAGUCCCUGCCCCACAGCUGGCCACACCAGGCCUGGCUGGGGAAGGAGUGCAGGGAACUGAUUGCAGGGUGCCGGGUCUUGGGUGCGCUUAUUGGGGUCACUAUCAGGUUGUGUCUUGCAGGACCUCCUCUGAUGGAGCCCAGCUGGCUUAGGCAGGGUCCCAGCUGUUCACCAGGGCCAGGAGCAGAACCUCUAGGGCCAGACAGCCCAUGAUCUAGGGAGACAGAGCCCCCCGCUUCCCUUACUUCACCCCAGUUCCUCUGGCUUCCUUGACAGCCCAGGCAGCCAGUGGAACAGCACUCUUCCCUCCUCACCCCACCCACAGUGGCAGGAGGCCUGCCUCCCCUGGAUUCCUUUAGUGCUCCAUACUGGGAAAACCCCAGCCAGGCCAGACUCCCCCGCCCAGUACGGCUGUCCCAGUAGAGGGCCCUAUUGUGUAGGGUGCUACACAUGGGAACUGGUCCCACAGGGUCACAGGCCAAACCUCAGGACACUACUCUCCUGCUGUUUCCAGAACUCCUCAUUCCCAUCCAGCCCAGCUUCCUGCCCUUGAGACAGCCCACAAUCUUUCUGCCCUGGGGCACCCCCCACCACUUGUAUCCCCAGAGUCUGAUGGGCCAUAGGUCCCCUCCAUGGAAAAAAAACAGGCUGGUAAGAUGGAAGACAGAUGCCUCCUUUUCCUCCCCCUUAUGUCUGGGGGGAUUUGAGUCUUUGGCCUGGUUACCUUCUGCAUUUAUAGACCACAAAUAGUGAUUCCUAUCAAAGUUCCUACAGAGCAGCCAGGGCCUGUAGCAGAGCCUGGAGAACCUCUCUUCCAGUUACCAGAGGGGCAGUAGGGAUAUGGUCACCCAUGCCUCCCACCUGCCCUGGAGCAUGGCCACUGCCUCUUUUGUUAACAGGACCGUUGAUAUCUUAAGUUAAAAAUAACUCAGUAGGACCUUUUUUUCUGAUCUGCACAAAUACAUAUUCAACCCCCAUCCAUGGUGUGUGGACACCUUUGCAGGCGGCACUUCCCCAUCCAGGAGGGUUUUCAGAAGUGUUCCAAAGGAAGACUCCCCAGAAAACUCCCUCUUCUAACAGUCCGAGCAGGGGGUGGAGGCCCCCCCCCCACGGGGCCAGCUCUCGCGGGACACUUCCCACUUCCGCAGGCCUUUUCAAGCACACCCCCACUGAGCGUGCGAAGGGCUACGGGGCCGAGCUCUGCGUCUUCCCCCGCGCGUCCCCAGGGUCCAUCUCAGUAUGCCACCGCUAGCCAGACCGGCCGCUGCCUGCUUCGCUGAGCAGUGCAGGGCAACAGAAUGCGGGAGGCGGAUUUGCUUCCCCAAGAAAUUGUUUGCUUUUUUUUUUUUUUUUUGCUGAUUUUUCAGUGCAGAAAGUCUCCUGGAGCAGGUGGUAUAAAAUCAAAGCCCCUACAUCCAAGCCAGACACAAAAGCGCCCUGGAAGUACCCGGACCCGCGUCCGGAGAAGCGCACGCACCCGCCGAUGCAGUGUCUCGGCGGCCGCGGGCUCAGCAUCCCCACCUGCUCCGUUCCGCCCUGUCCCCGAGAACCAGGAGGCGGCCGGAGGCGCCAUAAUGGCAAAUUUAUGGCCUGGGUGACGUGCUUUCCUCUCCCACAAUGGGGCCCCGUGACAUUAAACAGAAAAUUGAUGAGAGGGGAGCGGAAUCUAAUCUCUCUCCCUCCGCGCCGCCUCUUCUCGCUUUUCGGGGAGGCGGCGAGGGCCGGGAGGAAGAGUGGUCCGCGUGAGUUCCGCACCCGCGCCUUCCCCCAGAUCCGCGCUCCCGGCCGGCCGCAGUGGGGUGGUGGCCGCCACCCUCGUCGCGGGCCCCCACCCCUCCGCGAACGCAUUUCGAGAGGACUCUCGGGACCUGGUAGCCGCGACGCACAGACUCAGGACCCCAGGCCCAGGCACGCGGCAGCCCCUGUUCCCCUCCCCAGUUCCGGGAGCGCCCCCACCGCGCGGGGAGGGGGGGAGGACCCCGGCCGCCCAGCCCCCAUGUGGGAAAAGACGGCAAGUGACUCGGCGCGCCUGGGGUGGCUGCGAGCUCCCGGUCCCCUCCGCCGGCUGCACGGCUCCCCCGCGACGCGCCCGGCGCCUCCUGGCACCGAACCCGCCGCGCUGCGUCCUUAAAGGCGCCGCCUGCUCUGCCCGCCUUUGUCCGCGCCUCUGGGAAGGUCAUGAGGCGGAGAGUGAGGGGCAGCGGCAGUGCCUGGCGCAAAGCGCAUCUCCCAUGCAUAGCGCAUCCCGGACCACAGGCGCGGGGCUCCAGGAAAACCUGACCCAACCGUCUCUGCGCCCCAUGCCCCAGGGUUACGUCUUGUCACACACACUGUGCUGGAGCACACAGCCCGCUUAAACGCUGGGCCUUGGAUAAGUGGGGGUCAGGGGGGUGUGUUUCUCAGGGGAGGAUGGAGAGAGCCCCUGGGGACCUCUUGGGGAAAAGAUCAUCCCCAGAGCCCCAGGAGCAUCUAGAGGCAUGAACAAAGUCCAGCUUGGGGCCUGAUGAGGCUCCUGGAGUGAGGCUUCUGCCCCUCCUGCCUCUACCUUUCUGGCCUAUAUGACAUUGAGGGUGCCUGUGUGCCAGAUUCUGCCCGGACACUCAGACUCUAGGCAACCUGGGUUAGUGGUGUUGCCCAUUUCACAGAUGAGCACACUGAGGGGUGAAUGGCUUGCUUGUCUGCUCACCUGGGGCCUAGACACUUGGGCCCUGAGUUAUUCUAUAAAAACCAAGAUGAGGAUUGACUGGCCUUUGGGUCCAAGCAGCCCCCCAAACCUUUGGAGUUGGGACCUCCACCUUGAAAUGUGCGUCACCUAUAGCACCUGCAGAAGGGGGUGCUUGGGCCCUGUCCUUCCUGGGCAGCAGGUCCGCAGGCCCCAGCCAGCUGGCCUGUUUCUCAGUCCUGCCAUGAGAUGCGGUGAGGCCAGUCUGACUCUGCAGCUAGGAGGAACUGCUGAUGCGUGGGGAGAGCCAGGAAGGUCAGGUUGCCCUGGGACCAAGAAAUCACCUCCGUCAGGCUGGAUGCAAACCUCCACUUCUAGGUUCAAAAAUCAGCUGUAAACUGCAGCAGCUUCCCAUGAAGCAGGAUGAACCAGAGGCAGCUGCCCCAUUCAGGCAGGACCUGUCCCCCCACCCCCAGCCCUGCCCUCUCGGUGGCAGGCUCCUUGUGAAUGUCUAGGCACCCAGCAGCUGAGCCUGGCUGGGGUGGGGGUGGGGGUGGGCCCCCUCGGGAUGUCUGACCCAGAGCCUCUGAUGUCAGGCCCACUGGGGGAGGGGACGCAGCUGGGGACAGCAGAGAAUGGGGUCCUUGUGCCACUGUUGUCAGGCCCAGGGCUUCCAUGAACACAGCUUUGUCUGCACCCACACCCCGUGGUGACCACGGGACAGGACUGGGGGAUCAGCGGGCCUCAGAACAAGAGCUGCAAGCGUUUUUUGGCUUUUUAGCCAAAGUUAACCCUUAAAUGGGUGUUGGAUUCACUCUCCCCAGCCAUGUGCCUGGCACCUGGAAGCCUGGGGCCGGAGGGCAUGCAGAGGGGCUUCAGGCCCAAGGUUUGAAAUACAUUCAACUCUUUUUUUUUUUUCCUAUUAAAAUGGCUGCAGUCAUUGGAGGAAAUAGAGGGUGCCUGGGUAAGAGGAUCUGGUAGGCGUGAUUCUGACAGCACGUAGCCUCCCACACAGGUUCUGCUCCCACCCCAGUCCUAGCUGGCAACAGAAGUCCAGAGACAACUCCCCAGGGGUCUUCCAGAGGAGGAGGCCCCAUCUGUCAACCCACCCGGGACUCUGGGCGGGGUGGAGGUGAGACUAAGUGGAGGAUCUUGCAGGAACUCCAGAGCAGUUGGGUGUGGGUGGGUCACAGACCCUGGGAGCAGGAAGGACGGACAGGAAAGGACCAUUUGUGGGCCCCAGGACUUGGCUGGCAGCAGUGGGGUCUGCAGAGGCAGUGGGGUCUUCCCAGUACCAAGUGGAUGCUGGGGGUGGCAGCGGGAUGGCCAGGACACUGGGAGCCCAAGGCACUCCUCAGACUGCAGCCUCUGGGCCUGCCCACUCCCCUCAGCCCACGGUCCAAGAAGUACACCUGGGCAGUGGCACAGUGGUGGGUUUUCUCUUCUUCUUUGUGAUUCUAUAUAUAAAAUAUAUUUCUCAAAUUUCCCUUUUGAAUGGUAUUCAUUUUGUAAUAAAAAACAAAACAACCGUAAGCAGCACCCUGAACAGGUCUGCAGGGCCAGAGUUUAGCGGCUUGCUGCACAGUAGGUUCAGUCACCCAAGCCCAGGGCCACUCCUGCCCUGAAGGCCCCUCGAGCAAUCGCAGAGAAGGGUGCCUCAAUUUUCCCCACACACUCUGGGAAUCACCAGCUGGACUCCAGAUGGGUGCUGCCAGCUCAGGGCAUGCAGGAGUACAGGCGGCACCUGGAAGUCCUCCUGUUUUCUGAACACUCAGAGGGAGGUGCCCCGGUGGCUGGCAUUGCUGCCCAGGAGAGGCCCAUGGGCCCUGGGGAGGGCAGCCCAGCAACUCAUGAAUGUGUCAUGAUAAGCCAAAGGCGUGGGGCACCAGCAAGAGCAGGGCAUAUGGGGCCUGUUCCCCCAGGCUGCGGCUGGGCUCCCCUAUCGCUCUAGAGGCUGGGAGAGGCUCGCAGGGAUGCCCCAGAGACUCAGAGCCCUGCCCCUGAGGUGUGGCUGGUCUGCGGUGGGGGGUAAGUUAAGGCCUACCAGUCUCUGCUAGCUUCAGGGCAAGGUUGCACUCCUGCCCGCCCCCACACCAGGGGCAGUGGGAUGAAAACCCGCCCCCAAGUCUGCCCUGUCACUACCCCAGGAUUGGGGCCAUGGAGGACUUCUAGCAGAGGUGGGUAGGAGGUGGGCUCCAGGGGUCUCCAGCUCAUUAUAACUGGGUGUGGGGGGCCUGGAGUAAAGAGUGUGGACAGUACAGGCUUAGGAGCCUCAGGGCCCAGGGAGGGCAGGAAAGUUUCCCCAACAUGAUUGAAGAAGGAGCCAAUGUCACUGGCACCCUCCCAGGAACCCGGCACCCCUCCAUGGACAAGAGGAACAGCCAGGCAUGGCAGGCACAGCUGUCCUGGCAAAUGACUUGGGAAGGCACAGCUCUGGGGCCAGCAUACACAGGAGGGAGCCAGGAUCAGCCAUGGCAGUCCCCAUCCCCAGCAAGGACUCCCCAGCAUGAAGCAGAGGGGCUGACGGACAGGAACCAGGACACCCAACCCCAGGCCUAUAAGCUCCAAGAAGUAUGGGGCUUGGGCAUGCCUCAGAGGGCCCCCGGUGGUUGGUGGUUCAGGAUGACCAGCACCGAGUCUGACGCCUGCCAAGUGCUGUGGGCCUGCCCUGGGCUGAGCUCAGCCCUUGUGUCCCCCAGUGCCACCAUCUCGCUCACUGCUCCCACCUGUGGGUCCCACUAACUCACAUUGCCCUGGGCAGUGCCAACAUCUGGUCAGUGGGGCAGAGGAGGCAGUGCCCUGCUGCGUGGGACAAGCACACCAACCGCUGGGCAUGUGAGGGACCCAAGAUGUCCUCACCAGGAGCUAGGCACUAGCAUGGGCAGCCACCCAUCAGGUAUAGAUGGGGUUCCUGCAGGCUCUUGGGGCUUGACCCCCCCCCCGACUCCUGCUUUUCCUGCAUUCCCACCCGGAAGUCCUCUGGCCCAAGGAUGUGAGGCCUAUCCAUCUGCAUGGUGCCCACUGUGGUCCCUCAGCUCAAAGCGGGACUAUAACAAACACAGCUGUUACUCUCAUUCUUUUUCAUGCCUUUUGGUAGUUUAAGCCCUUCUUUGUCUUGGAUAUUGUCUUAGGGUUAUGCAGAGAGAGAGAGAACCAAUAGGGAUAGGCCCACACCUGUGUCUGCAUCUAUGUCAAGAGAUUCUUUAGAAGGAAUUGGUUCACAUGAUCACAGUCAAGUCCCAAGAUGUGCCCUGGGCGGGAAGCUGAUGGUGCAGUUUGAGUCUGAGGGCAGUGUGUGUUCCAGUUCAAACAGUCAGGAGGAGGAAAUCCUCCUACUCUUAGGAAGAUCGGCAUUUGCCUCCCAUUUGGGUCUUUUCUCCAAUGGAUUGGAUGAGGCCCACCCACUUGGGAAGGAGUGUCUGCUUCACUCAGUCCACAUUCACCAGCCAGAUCCUAACCCCAUCCAGAACACCCUCAAAAACACCAGAAUUAGGUUUGAGCAGACACCGCAGCAUCCCCUGGCCCAGUCAAGUUGACACAUAAAAUUAACCCUUGUAGGUGCAUUCCACUGGAAGGGGAAUUGCUGGGUCACGGGGACGGUGUCGGAGCCCCGUGGUCCCUGCUCCUCACUGGCACUUGGAACUGUCAGUCUUCCUCAGCUCUGCCUUUCUGAGGGUGGGAAGCCUCCUGUGGCUUAAGGCUUGUUCCCGAUGGCUAGGGGCCACCAGUGUUCAUCUGACUGUGGGUCAUUUCUUCACCCUUUGGAUCCAGGAGGUCCCUGUUCCAAUGUGUUGCCCCUUUUAAAAAUAGUGUUGAUGUGUCUUUCUUGUUGAUUUUGGGGCUCUUGACACGUUCCGGACACAGAUCUUGGCUAGUCACCUCUCUACACCGCUGUCGAGAGGCGCGUUGUUUGGGCUUAGAUUUCACUCAGAGGCUGGCGUUUCUUUCUUUCUUUUUUCCCUAGAAAUUGAGCCCAGAAUUGUUCUGCCUCUGAGCUACAUCUGUGGACUUUUUUAUUCUUCUUUUUUUUUUAAUUUUUUUUUCUUUAGUUGUAGUUGGACACAAUACCUUUAUUUUAUUUAUUUAUUUUUAUGUGGUGCUGAGGUUCAAACCCAGGGCCUCACAAGUGCUAGGCGAGCGCUCUGCCGCUGAGCCACAGCCCCGCCCGCUUUUUAUUCUUAAGUCAAGGCCUCCCAUCCUAAGUCGCCCCCCCUGGCCUGGAAAUCGCAGCCCUGCCUUGGCCUCCUGUCACUGGGAUCACCAGGUGUGCAGCAUUAGGCCUGGCUCCAAGUUCUUGAUCUUCACUGUUGGAUUGUUUUGCAGUCAGGUGACUGAACCCAGGGCCUCAAACAUGCUAGGCAGGAGCUGCACCCUGAGCCUUGUCCCCAGCCCUGUCGCUCGGUUUUGAGACAGGGCCUGGUGAGAUGCCCAGGCUGCCCUGGGACUUGUGAGCUCCUGCCUCAGCCUCCUGAGUCGUGGGAUCACAGGUGUGCACCCGUGCACUCAGCUUCAAGUUCUUGAUUCUCAUGAAGUCCAGUCUUCCCUUUUCUGGUCAGUGACCUUGGCACCCUACAUCAGAAAUCUUUGCUGACCACAGUGCCUUUGAAGGUCCUCCUGUUUUAUUCUAGAAGCUUUGGGGUUUAUUUUUCACCAUUUGGUGUAUGAUGCACUUUGAUAGAUUUUUGUACACACUGUGACAGAGCACCAAGGGUCAGCCUUCCUGUCAGGUCCAGCUGGCCUGCCCCCUUCCUGCUGCACUGCUGUGGCCUUUGUUAGACGUCAGUGGGUUGGGGGAGGGGCAGCUGGCUUUCUGAACCCACCCUCCCAUCCUUGGCCUACUGGACGGCUCCUGUACCACUCACUGGGGCCUUUGCUGGCCACUCAAAGCCCACCCAGGGCUUUAGGCAGAGGGGCCCUUGAGGUGAGGCUUCGGGGGCCCUCCUGGGUAGUAUCCACUGCUUGCUCUCCCAGGGUACAGCUUCCUGUCCUGACUGCAGCGCUGCAGGGGCCCACCUCAAAGACCCUGAGGGGCUGUGGAUAAGGGCGGGGGCAGCUCUCCGGGAAGGACACAUCUGGCCAGCCCUCAGCUCACAGCAGCCCUUUACAGAGGACCCUCUGGCUCAGCUGCCACAUGGGCUCCCAGGGCCGUUGCAGGCCCAGAGAGCUCGCAUGGAGCAAGGACACCACAUGGAGCCCCACACUGAGCUUGCACAUUAGUGGGGCCGGGGACAGAUGGUGUCAGUUAGGCAGCAUGGCCCAGGGCCACCUGGGUGGGGCUGUUGGAAACGGGGGUGACACUGACGUCUGAGCAGAGCAGAGGGGAACGAGGAGCAGGCGUGCAGGUAGCUCCUUUCAGGAGGACCUGCAGGGCCAGGGCUCCAGGCUUCCAGGGCCUCCUGCAGGGGUGGGAGGGGGAAGGUCUCAGAGUGCAGGGCCAGCAGUGGGGCCAGAGGUCCUUCAGGUCCUUCAGGCCCUAAGCUACAGGGCAGGUCCCGCGGCUCAGGAGGUGGGACCCCGCACCUCUGGCUCUGCGCGGAGGUCCAUCUGAGGCCUCCAGAGGAAGGAGCCUCAGCACUGGAAGAGCUCAGAGGGUCCUGCCCAGCAGCAGGCAGAUGGAAAGGAGGAGCUGCAGCCAGGGAGGGGGCAGAGUGGGGGCAGGGGCUGGAGCUGGAUUGUAGGGGUUCCAAGGGCUGCAGGGGCGCGUGGGGCAGGGCGGGGGUACAGGGUUCUGACUGCAGGGGUGCGUGUGGGGGUGUGGGUACAGGGUUCUGACUGCAGGGGCGCGUUUGGGGGGUGUGGGUACAGGGAGCAUAGCCACACUGCCUGCACUCUGGGACCUGCACCCCUACAAGGGCCGGGGCUCUUCGCCAAGUUGAGCGCCAGGCAGGCUUCUGGGGGACUUGGACUUGGCCGGCAGGAGGUGAUUGUCAGGCAGCUGGCUGGUUCUGGAGUGAGUGAGGCAGGCCCUCCCUGCCUGGACAUGGCCUUGGGAGAUGAGGCAUAGCAGGGAAUGGCAAUCAGUGGUGUGGGAGGGGUCAGACUGCAGGGUCUACAGGGGACAGGACAGGAGGGGCCAAGGAGGGGAUACCAGAUGGGGAAAUCGAACCAAGAAAUUGUGACGGGGGCCAGGGUAGUGUCAGGAAGCCUGGAGAAGAAGGGUUCUGCCAGGAAGAGUCAUCCAGGGCCAGUCAGAGGAUCUGGUGCUGUGGUGGAUGCUGGUGACCUGCCCAGGCCCUUGUGUCUGCUCCACCCCUCCCCCUUUCAGAGUGACUCUGAAUGCACAGGGCUGACCCCUCUCCAACCACAGCCUGUGGCCACUGAGCACCAGGUUAUAGCCCCAAGGUCCACUCCCUGCCAGGCCAGCUAGCCCAACCUCCUGACCCUCAGGAGGCCCUAACCUAGGCUGGCCGGACUCUGCCCCGUAGCCACGGGCCGUUGCCUAUGUGUUUCUAGCUGGUCCUCCUGGCCAUCCAAGCUCCCUGAGAUCUCCUCUAGCACUGGAAGGAGAUGGCCUUGUCCUAGGUCUUAUUCCUGUGACCCAGCCAGGCCAUACAGUCCCAGGAGCACAAAUCUUCCACCAUCCCACGUUCUCCCCAAUGGUGAGACUCCAUUGGCAAUCAUGGCCAAGCCAGUGCAGCCAGUGUCCCGGCUGUCACAGCAAAUGACCACAGACUGGCCAGCUUAGAUGACCAGAAUUUAUUUUCUCAUGGUUCUAGAGACCAGAAGCUGGCAGCGAGGUGUGGGAAGGGUGGGCCCCCUGGAGGUGCCCAGUAGGUCCAGCCAGGCCUCCCGGGCCUGCCCCUGCCAGCACUCCUGUUCCUGUUCCUUGGUCUCUGUCCCACUUCUCCCGUGUUUCCCUUUUAUUUUUUCCAUAUUCUUCCUGAAAAUUUUAUAUGGUCAGAUGGGGAAAUCGAACCAAGAAAUUAUAACAGGCCAUGUUUGAAUUCCCGUCCAUUUCACUUCACCUAACCAUGAGAGACUGUCUGCCUCGGCCUCUGAGUCAGGACUUUCCCCCUGUGUGCGUGUGUUGGGGGCUCUCUUACUGCCGCGGACCAACGAGAACCUCUGGCUUGUCAUGCAACUUUCAGAAAUGCAUUUUCUCAGGCCAGGGUUGCAACUCAGUGGGAGGGUGCUCACCCAGCGCAUGGGAGGCCCUGGCUCCAACCCCCAGUGCUGCUAAAUAAGUGAAUGUAUUCAUAAUGUGUCACUAGAUGGCCCCAGAAAGGACCAGCAGCUUGUUGGGCUCCUGAGCAUCCUGCACCCACACCCAUCCCAGCCUCAGCCCAGCACACUCAGCCUCCUGAUGGACGGCGGGCCUGACCCCUUCUCUAGUGUGGCCCCCCUCCCCAGCCACCUGUCUCCACGCUGCCACGGACUGUUGCCUAGGUGUUCAUGGCUGGUCCUCCUGGCCAUCCAAGCUCAGGGCUGGGAACACGGAGGGCUGGGAGGGUGGCCCACUGCUUCUUCCCAGGCUGAGGUGCAGAAUGAAAUUGGUCCAACUGCAUCUGUUGAAAAGCAGCCCCCUGCCCAUCCUGCUGUACCCUCUCACCAGCCCUGGGCCAGCUCUGCACUGUGCCACUAAGGAGCGGCGGUCACUCUUCCAAGUCUCCAUGGCUGUGGGCAGAGCCCUGGGCAUCCUGCCUCCAGCACUGUGCCCCCCUGGCUCUGCAGCUAUGUAUCUGGCAAAGUGUGGCUCAAGUGGGUGGGAGCCCCCAGGGUGCCAGUCUGGUUCAGCCUGGCAGAGGCUGCACCCCCUCUGCACCUGUCCUCAGGCGUCAUAUACACCUCCGUGCUUCAAUUCUGGUUUCUGGAAUCUUCCUUCUUGUCAUUUCCAUCCCCUUCCCACUGUGUGUCCCCCAGAGUGGCCUGGACCUGAGGAAAGGGGCCCUGGAGAGUCAGGGCAGGUGUCCAUGUGUCCAGACACCCAGGUGUCCAGGGAUCCGUGGCAGAGCAGAUCCCCAGACUCUCUCAGGGUCUGAUUUAUGGCUCAUUUCUAGGUGAGGUCAUCCUGGAUUUAGGUUGGACACUAACUCCAAUGACAAACAUCCUCUUUAGAGAAAGACAAAGGCUAUUUGAGACUCACCCACACUAAAGGAAAACUACGUGAAGAGGAGGCAGAGGGCUGGGCUGGGGCUCCGUGGCAGAGCACUGGCCUGGCAUGUGUGAGGCACUGGGUUCGAUUCUCAGCACGGCAUAUAAAUGAAUAAAGUCCAUUGACAACUAAAAAAAAAGAAAGAUGUAGGCAGAGACCAGAGAUGUACCACCCCCGGGGAAUGCUUGGGCCACUGGAGGCUGCGAGGACAAGGAAGGAGCCCCUAGGAGCCUCAGAGGAAGGUGGCUCUGUGGCACCUCGAUUCUGGACUUCUGGGCUUCAGAACGAUAAGAGAAUAAACUUCUAUAGUAUUAAGUCACCCAAUUUGUGCACAUGUGUCAUGGGGGGUCUGGGAAAGUAAUACAAUACUCUUUUAAGUCAAAGGUGUGGGCUGGGCUGGGGCUCAGUAAACAGCAUUGCCUAGCACGUGUGAGGUGCUGGGUUCGAUCCUCAGCACCACAUAGAAACAAAAUAAAGGUAUUGUGUCCACCUAUAACUAAAAAAUAAAUAUUAAAAAAGGGGGGCUGGGGUUGUGGCUCACCUAGCAUGUGCGGGGCCCUGGGUUCAAUCCUCAGCACCACAUAUAAAGAAAUAAAAGUAUUGUGUCCAACUACAACUAAAAAAAAAGUUAAAAGGUGCCAGCAUCAUCGCCCACGCCUGUAAUCCCAGUGGCUCAGGAGGCUGAGGCAGGAGGACCACAAAUUCAAGGCCAGCCAAGUAACUAAGCAGAUAGAGCCUGUCUCAAAACAAAAUACAAAGGAUUGGGGGUGUAAUUCUGUGAUAAAGCCUCCCUGGGUUCCACCCCAGUACCUCAAAAACAAACAAAUAAACGAUAAAUUUGAGGUAUAAAAGAUUCUAAAGUGAAAAACCAUGGGCACUGGCUCCCGCGCCCUGCUGCCCCCCAAGCACACACACAUCAGCACAGAAGGCCAGAGAGGACGCUGGGCGUGGUCAUCGCAGCACACGCAGCCUGCCUGCGCGUGGCUCCUGUCCUUUGACUCAGGACCUGAGGAUCUUUAUGCCACUCGGGCACCGUCACCUCAGUCCUCCUGAGUACGCGGUGCUGCGUCAGCUCAGCGAUCUCUCCCUGGUCCAGCUCCUCUGCUCCAGGUGCGGGGACAGAUUCCAGUGCAGGUGUGGUGGACAGGUGGUCCCUGUGAGUGCCCUUCCUCUGCAUCUGGGCGUCCUGGUGAGAAACCCCUGCUCCUGCUGGGGUGCUGGUUAGGAGCGCUUCACUGGGGAGGAAUAUUGCCGGGUGCCUCCCAGAAGGUCAUCCCGCUCCCACGCUCCCCAGCAGGCAAGCCGGCUCACAGGAAGGAGAAUGGGGGUCCCCGAGCACAGGGCGGGCCCCAGGGGUGUGGCUAGCGCAGCUUGGCCUCUGCUUUCUGGCUUCCUGCAGUCUGGGGCAAGCUUGGCCCUAGAGGAGCUGCCGGAGAGCUCGGCCGGGUUGGGCGUGGGCUCGGUGCUCUCCCUGGGCAUGUUGAUGGACAUGCAAUUAACCCGCCUGUGGUUAUGUUGGCAGCUGAACUGGAACAGGAAGUUAGCACGGGAACCAGGGCCUUUCAAGUGUUGACAGAUUCACGGAGCCUCUGCACCUGCGGGCGGGGACCUGUGCUCCUGCCUCCACGAGGGAGCCAGGGAGGACUGGCCCUGUCCCUGAGCCCCAGGGCCCAACAGCCACACCUGGGCAGAAGCUGAGGCCCGUCCAGUGUUGACCCUGGUGCGUGGCUCCACGUCCCUGUGGGUUUCUGUUUCCCCACGUCGCUCAGGGGAAGCGGUCUGCAUGAGCAGCUCAGCACCAUCUGAUCACCUUCUUGAAUUCCAGAUGCUGGGCUCAGUCUGAUGCUGCAAAACCCGGAUGAGGAUGCCGGCCCUCCCCUGGCAGGAGCGAGUCGUGGGACCCGUGCUCUUCGGGAAUGGCGGUGCCUCGCAAGCCCACCUGCAGCCUGGGGAGUCUGAAACAGGGCCUGGGCGUGUGGGACCAGGAGCACCCUCCACGAUCCCCCCCUGGACAGGCGGGUUUUGCUGGCUUGUUUUUGCAGCACUGGGGGUUGGACCCGACCCUUGAGUGUGCUAGGCAAGAAUUCCACCACCGAACCACGUCUCACACUCCCCUGCGCCUUUUACAAUUCUUAUUUUGAAACAGGGUCUCGCUCAGUUGCCCAGGCUGGCUUGAACUUGGGCCCUCCUUCCUCAGCCCACUGAGCAGCUAGGGUGUGUGCCACUGUGCCAGUUCCAGGACAGGUUUUUUUAAUGGCCUGAUGCCUGGCGAAGCCUGAGUAGCAGUCCCCAAGUGGGGAUGCCUGUGGGGCACCAGUGGAGGUUGGGGCUGAAGUUCAGCUCUUCAUCAUACGGGUAGGAGCCUGAGAGGUCCCGGCUGCUGCUCAGGCCACGGAGCUCUCACACUGAGGACGGCCCUGGACUGGCACACCCAGCUGACCCCUCAGCCAGCACACUCUGGAGGGGCCCUGGCUACUGUGGAGUGAGCGGACAUGUCCCUGAGCAGGGCUCCUGCAGUGCUGCUGAGUGCCUCAUCUGGGGUGAGCUCAUCUCCCGAGCCCUCUGGGGCCACUGUGGCCAGCACUCCUUCCAGCACCUCUGCCUGUGGCUGCCCGCUCUGUCCUCCGGGUCCCAACCCCUCCCUCCCUAUGCACUCAGUCUCCAGCCUGGUGUCCAGGAAGCCACAGCUGCAAGCCUGGGGCCUGUUACACAAAGACUCCACCCCGCACGGGUGAGACAUGUCCCCUGCAAGACGUAUUGAAGUGCCAGCCCCACACCUGCGACUUGGCCUUACUUGGAAACAGAAUGUUUGCAGUGUGAGUGGGCCAGGACAGCCUGGCUGCCCGUGGUGAUGCUGGCCACUGACCUGGGCCACGCAGGUCGUGUUAGAACCCCUGCCCUGUCAGUGACACAGUGACAGGGGAGAGCAGUUUGCACACAGAGGAGAGACGGGCUGUGGACGAUGAGGCAGAGGUGGAGCCCUGUGUCUGCAGCUGAGGGCCACAAGGACCACCAGCACCCAGAAGCUGGAGAGAGCCUGGACCCCAGCAGCCCACCCUGCACAUGCCCUGGUCUCCAGAGCUGGUCAUUGGUUACAGUGGCCCCAGGAAGGUCAUACCACCUCCUUCCUGCUCCAGGGACCCGCCUCAUGGGCUCUUGGGUAGUGGCAGUUGGCAGGAAGUGUGGGAGCUGAGCGCUCAGGAAGUGACCUCAGGAUAAGGGGGCAGGCUUCUCCUUUAGAAAGGGAGCCUCCAGGGUGGAAAGAAGUUUGGAACAACUCCACUACGUGGGCUAAGGCUGCAGCGUUGGUGUGAACUCGGUUUCCAGUACAGACAGCCUCAGAGUGGAUGCGGCGUUGAGUCCAGCUCCUGUCCAGAGACUCACAGCCGGCCCAGAGCCCAGUCCCGGCUCCUCUCACAGGAGCCUGGGCCCUUCCGGAAAGACCGAGCCCGGGGCUGGGGCAGCGCAUGCAUUCCGAGCCUGGCCCGGUUGGUUGUGCCAGAAGGAGGUCAGGAAGUGCCCGAGAACAACAGAGACGACAGGGUCCUUGGGAAGGGGGAAGACAGAGGGCUUCCCUCUGGCCAGACCUGGGACGGACGGGCUGAGCAGCACCGUGCCGUAAUGGACGGCCAUCUUUAUUUACGACAUAAAUGAUUCAUGAUGAAGAUAAAUGAUUGAAUACGUGAAUGGGGGGAAAGCUGACUCGUAAAUGUGGAAGGAAUAAUGGGAUCAGAAAACUUCCAUUUGGCAACCGGCAUAUUAAUAAUUGAUUCAGGGAGGAAUCAACAGCGGAUGCUCCGACUGCUGGUGAAAGGUCGGAGGAAACAGGCUAUUUACUUGGCCUCCAAGAGUCUGCUCUCAGAGCACUCACUAAUUAUUACUUAGUAAUUAGUAAGUUCAAAAUACUAAUUAAUGUAACUGCACCGUGGAGGAACCUGGCAGGUGUCACCUUGAGCCAAGUGGCAAAAGCAUUACCAACCGGGCUUGCUGGGCGCUGCUGACCUCAGUUUCCCCAUCUGCUCAACAGGCUUCCUCCUGAAUUCCAAACCACUGACCCCAACUGUCGAAUCAGUGUGGGACAAAGUCACAAACGAAGAUGUGACUUCUAGGUCAUAGGACGGGAGAGAAGCAUGGAAACAGACGAACACCACAGGAGAACUCGGGUCUGUGGCGCAGGGUGGUGUCCUACAACAGCAAGGCCUGACUCUGAUGGUCCUGCUGCCGAGUCUGGGGGAUCUGGUCCGUGCUGUAGGAGACCCACCGUCUCGGGGCACAAUGGGCGUCUUGUCAGCAGCGUGCUCUUAAGUGGGUCAGAAAACAGGGUGAUAAGGUGCGCUGCGGCGUGGCACGUGGGGUGCAGAGGCUCCUUUCACCGCUGCAGCAAACUUUCCAUACAAAAGCUAAAAACAAAACCUGCAUCGGAACAUGAAAAGGUGAGCCACAGACCAGGAGAAGGUACCCGGAAACCACACUCCAGACCAGGGGAAACUCUUAAAGCUCCAGGACAGGCUGGGCCGUGGCUCAGCGGUGGAGUGCUUGCCUAACACGUGUGAAGCCCUGGGUUCCAUCCUCAGCACCACAGAAAGAUAAAUGAAUAAAAUACAGGUAUUGUGUCCAUCUACGACUACCAAAAAAAAAACCCUCCAUGGUAAAAAAGCAAGCAACUCGGUUAGAAAAUGAGCAAAGACACGAGCAAACAUUUCAUUAGAGAGGUGAUACAGAUGGCAAAUAAGCACUUGAAAGGAUGUUCAGCAUCAUCAGUUGUCAGAAAAGUGGAAAUGGGAACCACAGCACCAUGUCAGCACACACCCAUCAGAACGGCUAAAAUAAAAAUGGUCUCAAAACCCAUUGCUUUGGAGGAUGUGGAGAAACGGAACCAUUCAUGCACUUCUGGUAGGUAGGUAACCUGAUCCCAUCUCUCCAGAAAAGGGUUUAGCAGCUUCCUAAAAAAAAUCAGCACAACCACCAAACAACCUCACAAUCACAUUCUUGGGAAUUUAUCCCAGAGAAGUGAAGUUCACACAAAAUCCCAAACAAGAAUGUCCAUGGUGGCUUCACAACAGCUGGACCUGGGGAACAACCCAGACGGCUUUCUGUGGGUGGACGGUGGAGGAACCUCCCCAGCUCAAGGCUGCUCAGCCAGGGGAAGGAGCCAGUGUGGCCCAGGGGAAGGAAGCUGGGUGUGGUGGCACAGGCCUGUCAUCCCAGCAACUCGGGAGGCUGAGGCAGGAGGAUCACAAGUUAGAGGCCAGCCUCGGCCACUAGGCGAGGGCCUCAGCAACUUAGAGAGAUCUUGUCUCAAUAGAAGUAAAUAAAUAAAAAUGACUGGGGAUGUAACAAUGAAGCAAUAAAGCACCCCUGGGAUCCCUGGGAUCAAUCUUUAGUUAAAAAAAAGGAAGGGGAAACUGACAGAAUCUAGAUGAAUCUCAAGACACCAAGACGAAAAGCCAGACCCCAAAGGUCACAUACUGUACGAGGUCGUUUGUAUAACAUCCUUGAAAUGACAGUCAUAGAUACGGAGAAAAGAGUAAGGGUCACCGGGGGCUGGGGAGGGGUGGGGGAGUGAACGUGACAAUAGAGGGGGAACAGAGGGGUCCUUGUGGUGGCGGGGACCUCCUGUCCCAGCUGUGCCCACAUCGGCGACUGCUGGGAUGAUGACCUUGAGAGAUUUCAGGAUUGCCUUUGGGGGAAGCCGGGUGAAGGGGAUGUGGAGUCUCCACCUCACUUCUGACGACUGCAUGUGAAUGUAUGAUCAUUUCAAAAUAAAAAGCUUAACAGAGCCCGGUGCGGUGGUGCACACCUGUGAUCCCAGUGGCUAGGGAGGCUGAGACAGGAGGAUCCUGAGUUCAAAGUCAGCCUCAGCAAUGGCAAAGCACUAAGCAACUCAGUGAGAUCCUGUCUCUAAAAAAAAUAAUAAUAAUAAUACAAAAUAGGGCUGGGGAAUGUGGCUCAGUGGUUGAGUGUCCCUGAGUUCAAUCUCUGGUACCAAAAUAAUAAUAAUACUUAAUUAAAAUAAAAAAGCUGAACAGAAAAGGAAUCAUGGCAAGCUUUUACCCAUAUACACCGUGUGUGUGAUUCUAUGUGAUUGCUAAAUCACAUUGUCUUUAUGGCAUGCAUCGGCCCACACUUUAAAAUUAUAAGUGAAUGUAAAAGGAUAAGAGUCUCUAAAUUGGAAAGUCCAGGGCCAGGACUGCGUUCAGCAAAUCCCCAGGUCGGUGGGCAGAUGGAGGCCCAGGAGAACUGCAGGCCUCUCCUCCAGCCCUGGCCUCUGCUGGGCACUGCCUCUGUGCCGUUUCUCCCUGGUCCCGGGGAAUGACCCUGACCCUGCACCCUGCCAUGGGGGAAUCUAGAAGCCAAAGCUGGGCAUGGCUCUUGUGCUGCCACAGGCCAGCAGGGGACUAGAUGAAGCUCAUGGGUCCAGGAAGCGGGGCCAGGGCCCCAGGCUCAGGGGAUGAGGACCCAUGGCCACCCUCCUCAUCUCCCUCAGACCCCAGGGCUGUCUUUCCUCCAGUGGGAGCCCUGUGCCCCACCCAGCCAGCCCAGGGUCCACCCGGCCCGGGAUGAGGCUCUGUGUAUUCGAAACAAAGCGGGUGAGCAGAGGCCCACAGCCACCUCACCCCAGGGCCCUCUAAGGGGUGGGAAAAAGGAAGGUUCGACUGAUGUUGCUCAAAGUCAGUCCCCCAGGAACCCCAUGUGACUCACUCAAGGAAAUACCCUCUGAGCCUCCUGGGCCCCCAGUGAAGUGGCCACUUGCCUGGCCAGGAAUCAGAGUUUAAAACGGGUUUUCCUGGAGGUAAUCCUGCACAGGGACAGAAAUCCCUCGCCCCUGGGAUUCUGGCCAAGGGAAAGGAAUUUGGAAAACAUUUCCCUCUAGCAGCAGUUUGAAAAUAAAACGUGUUCACAGAUUCUUUGGCCCUCUUCCCACGGGGUGGGUCUGUGUCCCCUCCCCUCGCAUCGGGGCUGGCUUUGGUGGCUGGGGUCCCAGCUAAAAGCUGAUAACAAGGGUCAGACACAUGGGUGGAGGAGCUUCCAGAGGACGCCAGCCCCAGGCCACGCGAGUCCUUGCCAGUGGCCGAGGCUUCCUGCAGAUGGGGCGAAGACAAGCCGUCCCUGCUGGGCCGGGUCCAGGCUCCUGACCACAGAACGUGUAAGCACAAUAAAGUGACGGCUGAGCCACCAGCUUGGUUACUCAGCACUAGUGGUGGGGCAAGGACUGCCUCCCAUGGUGCCACCUGCAGACACCCGAUCCCAGGAGUGACCCUGCUUCCUUCCUGCUGGACCCUCCCCCAAACCAACCCGGAUGCUUCCAUGCUAACUCCAGGAGUCCUGGCAGUCCCGUCGACCACUACAUGUCCAAGUGGGGGUGACCAAAGGACCAGGAAGGGGCCAACGGGGCUGUGUCUGCGAGUUCUCAGCCCAGUGAUAUGGCUGACCCCACGGCAGUCACCCAGAGAGACACGUGGAGAGGGCAGGGGGUGCAGGGCCUGUGGAGGCCCCUGGGAGGGACCCACUACCAAGAUCAAAGAGAGAGGGAGGGGGGCCUGCACGUGUCCCUGAAGGUGCAUGUGCUGGGACCUGGUCCCCAGCCGUGGAGGUGGGCCUCCAGGAAGCCACUCCAGAGGGAGGUCAGGCCAGGCCUCAGUGGCUCCACGAGAAGUCACCCCACAGGCAGCCUCCGACCGGCCAGGAAGCCCUCCAGAGGCCGUGUGGCUGUGCUUCUCCCCGUGAUCCUUACACCCAGGAUUUUUUUUUAAAUAUUUUUGCAGUUGUUGAUAGACCUUUAUUUUUCAAAUUUAUUCACAGGCGGUGCUGAGACUCGACCCAGCGCCUCACACAUGCCAGGCAAGUGCGCUACCGCUGAGCCCCAGCCCCAGCCCGUGCACCCAGUUUUUUGAAUCCAAAAUUUGGUUUAAAAUCUCUCCUCACAUCAUCCUCCAGGGGCAGCGUUGGUCCUCAGGCCCGGAAAGGCAAAGAGGCCGCGGGGCCUGCCAGGGACUCCUGCAGGCGCCUGAGCCCAGCCGCCAGCCUGCAAGUCCCAGGGCUGCGGGGCUGCUCAGAGGCCCAGGUGCCCUUGGGCACACCUCAGCAGGGCGCUGAGGUCCUCGCCUCAGAUGAGGAAACCAAACAGCCGGGCAGUCUUUGGCUGCAGCCCACGGCGGAGGAUUAGCAUUUGAAAAUCUGUGCUUUGUAACGCAGCCGUAGUAAAUUUUGUCAAGCGUGGUAUUUUGACUAUAUGCACAAUCGACAGCAACCAGUGUGUUCACCUUAUUGUUUUUCAGACUGGAAAAAUGUUUGCUGAACUGUCACAAAGAAAUGAUGUGCGUGGCUUUGGACUAUUUGAUCUUGACAUAGAUAGAUCUAUGAGUAUCCCCGGCAUCCUAAUCUUGGACCACAGACAGUUUAGUAAUAAAUAACUACUAGCGCAGUUAAGCAAAACAAACAAAAAGCUUCACAUAAGGUCCACACCCCACUUCUUUGCAAAAAUAUUUGACAUAAAAUCUGUGAUGAAUAUGUGGUAAAAUACGGCCUGCUCUUGAACUUCUCAGCCUCCAGAACUUCGAGCAAAAUAAACCAUUUUCUUUAUAAAUUACUCAGCCUUGGGUAUUUUAUUAUAGCAACAGAAGAGGGACUAAGGUAGGGGAACAGGAGAGAGCCAAGUCAGUGAAGAAAAGAAGCAGUUGGGUGCACUGGCGCACACCUGUCAUCCCAGCGGCUC